rnacentral:lncRNA from 1 species
UGAGAUUUGGUUUGAUUAAAUGGGUAAAAUGCUAAGUGUAUUAAAGAUGAUGUAAUGGUUAUUUCGUUUUAUGUGAAGUAAAUAUAGAUGAUGGUUAUAAGCUGUUUUAUGAUUUGAUAAUGGUGAUUAAAUCUUGGAGUUAAGUGUUUAGAUAUAUAUAUUAAUAAUGAAUUUAGUGUACUUGCUAUGUGAGAAAUAUGCAAUGCUAUAGGUGUUUGAUUAUUAGAUAUGGUUAUUCUAAGUUGAUUUGUAAUGGUAUGAUUGCAUUGAUGAAUUGGUUUGGAAAUGGUGGACAAUAUGUACAUGAAUAUUAGAAUAGGGCUUUAAGUUCAUAUUGAUAAGUAUGCAAUAUAGGUAUUUGGUAUGUAUAUAUAUUGUUGAUGUCGUAUGCAUUGGUCUUUUUUUUUAUGAUUUGUAAUGGUAAAAAUAAAUUUGUAUCACUUUUGUGUUAUUUAUAUAAGUGGCUGUAUGUUCGGCCAUGGUAAUUGGCUAUCUAGGUUCCAUUUACAAUGGCAAGUAAUGUGAAUUCUUGGUUGUGCAUGUGAAUUAGGUAUUAGUGAAAUAAACAUAAAAGUUAGUCAUGGUAUAUUUCAUAAACACAUUAUGCACUGAAGUUAUACGAUUAUCAACUGUGACUAUUAAAGAAGUAAUGUUGAAUAAGUAAUGAAACAAAUUCAUUUGUUUUAAUUAAGCUCAUGAGCAAAGAGGAUCUAAAUCAGAUAGGGGGAAAGAGAAAGCCGUAGAGUAGCCUAUCCGCAGUUGCUCAAAUAAAUAAAGUAAGUUCUCAAGUAAUUGAGUUUGAUUCCUUUGUAAGUUUUAAGUUUUAAAACGGGAUGAAUGUGAAUUAUGUAUAAACGUUAAGGUCAAUGACUUUUCUAAAUGACGGCAUAUAUGAUAUUAUGUUUUAAAUAUGUGAAUGAGAACUUUACAGAGUAAAUUGUAUAAAUCUGCUAGGGACAGCAGCAGUAGCGUGUUUUGGAAAAAUUACCAUAAAUUGUGGGAGUUGAGUUAAAGGCUGAAUAAAUUAUGUAAUUAAAGCUUGAUGCGUCUAGUUUCGUAUAAAAGAAAUCGUGUAAGUAAAGGGGUUGCCGAUAAUGAGAUUUUCAAAGUUGUGUGAGACAGAGUCAGAACGGCUCCGAAAUCCCCUGUUCAGUAUUUGGAAAAUCAUUAUAAAUCGUACAAAAAUGAUUAUAAGAUAAAAUUAUAUGUUUAGACUCCUGAAUGAGUCUAGUUUCAAACAAAAUAAACGAAAACAUAUUUUGAAUUCUGUACAUUGAGAAAUUAAAUUCUUAGUGAAGAGUAGUCAGAGUAGUCAGAUGGAUCUUUGAUAUUAAAAUUUGUGAAAUUGUAAGUUUAUAAGUAUUCGAAUAUGAAAUGAUAGUAUGGCUUGAAAUUGAAUUAUUCAUUGGAAAAUGAUAGAUGUAGAUUCAGCCAAGACAAAGUGUAUACAUGAAAGUAUAUGUGGUAUGUGAAGUAUAUUUGGAUAAUUGUGAUGUGAAUACAUGAAAAUUUAUAUUUUGAUUUAGGAUUUUAUGUGAUAAAUGUGAACGUGUAUAUAUGAGAUAAGGCCGAAUGGAAAAUGUGAUGAAUGUGAACAUGCAUAUAUGAGAUAAGGCCGAAUGGCCAAUGUGAUGAAUGUGAACAUGCAUAUAUGUGAUAAGGCCGAAUGGCCAAUGUGAUGAAUGUGAACAUGCAUAUGUGUGAUAAGGCCGAAUGGCCAAUGUGAUGAAUGUGAACAUGCAUAUGUGUGAUAAGGCUGAAUGGCCAAUGUGAUGAAUGUGAAUAUGCAUAUAUGUGAUAAGGCUGAAUAGCCAAUGUGAUGAAUGUGAACAUGCAUAUAUGUGAUAAGGUAGAAUGGCCAAUGUGAUGAACGUGGAAGUGUAUAUAUGUGGUAAAGCCGAAUGGCUAAUGCGAAAUGUGUAUGAGAUGGAUAUGAGGUAAAGCCGAAUGGCUAAUGCAAAACGUGUAUGAGAUGGAUAUGAGGUAAAGCCGAAUGGCUAAUGCGAAACGUGUAUGAGAUGGAUAUGUGGUAAAGCCAAAUGGCUAAUGUGAGAUAUGUAUGAGAUGUGUAUAUAUAUAUAUUGUGGCCAAAUGACAAACGGCGGAAGGUGUGUUUAUUAGAUAUUUGAUGAGGUAAAUGAAUUACAAAUAUGAUAGUCGAUGUGAAUGUUGUAACAUGUGAAUAAAUAUGCAUGAAACUCUAUGAUGUAAACCCGGGAUUAAAGACCAGAUGACCAUAUGUGGUGACUAUGUCUGGGUUAAAACUCGCUGACUCGUGUGGAGAUUUCAUCUGAGCUAAAGGUCUCGCCGAUAAUCCGAGUAGAGUUUAAAGCUAUAAGACUUCGCAAAAUGAAUUGCUUAUAAAUAUAUUCAAUGCGAAAGGUUAAACAGGUAUGUACUCCAAGUUUAUAUGUGAGCUUGAUUUGAACUAAAUCAUAAGGUAAUUAUGUGAUGCAUACGUGAGCAAUCUAUGAGACUAUUCCUAUGAUUAUGUGACAUCGGAUCAGUGUGAGAGGUUAUGUGAAAUUAUACAAUAUAUCUAUGUCACAUGAGCUCACUUUUAUGUGAAAGUUUAUCUGCCUAUCGUAUAUGAUGAGAUGUGCAUAUUCGGUAAAGGGAUGGUAUGUCCGAAGGAAGAGUGAAAUAAAAAUACGAACAACUAUGUUAUAAUCUGAUUGUUAUCUGUUGACACUACUUAAAACUUACUAAGCAUUGUAAUGCUUACUCCGUUUACUUUGUUUCCUCUGUUUUAUAGAUCUCAUUUGGAAGCUACUGACUCGGGGAUCGUCAGCAACUAGUCACACUAUCACUAUCCACUUCUUGUUACUGUUAUGUUUUGAAUUAUUUUAUGGCAUGUAUAGAAUAGACCAGUGGCCGAAGAAUAUUUUGGUUAAUGUAUAUAAGCCAUGCGAAAAUGGCAUCUUUUGAAUGUGUACUUAUAGAAGUUUAAAUUUGUAUCCCUGACUGUCUUUAGUAUUUAUCUAAAGGAAUGUUCUCAAAAAAAAAUUUACUGUUCUGAUAUGAGUUUCAAGUCUGGUAAUGCCCCUUCACCUAUUCUGGUGACGGAUACGGGAUAGGGGUGUUACAUUUUAUUUGGUAUCAGAGGCACGAUUUAGUCAAUUCUAGGACUAACGUAGCACGCGUGAGUCUAUUUAUACAUGUCAUAAAGUGAUAAAAUGAUAGUGUGAUGAUUUUUGACUAUUAAAAUGUGUUUGUUGUAUUGUAAUGAAUCUUGAUCGCGAUCGAGCUGUAGCAAGCUUCUGACUAUGAGAAUUUGCGAUAUAUCUUCACUUGGACAUGCUCGAAUUAUUAAGUUGAUCAGGUACGUAUCAUGUACUCGUAUUUGAAUUUUGAUUUGGAUUGAAUUAUAAGGGUAUAAGUGAUGCAAUUUUGAAAGAGUGUUAUGACUAUAAAUGUGAUCUUUGUAUGUGGUUAUGGAACUGAAAGUUGAAUGGUCGAUAAGCAUGUUGUGUUUGUAUUCAAGUAAUGUAAAUGAUAUACUAAUGUGUAUUGUUAUAUAUGUAUAUAUACAUGAGAAUUGAGAGUUAUAUAUAUCCGGGCUAAGUCCCGAAGAGCAUUCGUGCUAGUGAUAUAUCCGGGCUAAGUCCUGAAGAGCAUUCGUGCUAAGUUCCGAAGAGCAUUCGUGCUAGUGAUAUAUCCGGGCUAAGUUCCGAAGAGCAUUCGUGCUAGUGAUAUAUCCGGGCUAAACCUCGAAGGCAUUCAAGCUGGAAUUAUGCGGCACUGUGUGUGCAAGUUCUCCAACCGAGCACUAUGUGUGCCAGAUCAGUAGUUGAGGCACCAUGUGUGCGAGUUCUUCAAUCGAGCGCUAUGUGUGCGAAAUCAGUCAGUGGGCACUGUGUAUGCGAAGUGUGUUUCAUGUAUGACCUCGUGUGAGACGAUGGCAUUGAUUUGUAAUAGUAAGUAAGACCUAAAGAGAAAAUUCGAGAAACAGACUAAACACUGGUGAACUAAUUAGAGUCAGAGAUUAUACAACAUUGUGCUAAAUUGGUAAUGAAAUAAGUUCGAGACAUUAAAUUGACAAGGUAUGUGAUAUAUAUAUACAUUAUAAAUACGAGAUUCUCGGUAUAUGCAGUUAUAUGUGCUAUUGUGAAUAAACACUAUUUUGUUAAUCAUGUUCAAGAAAUUAUUUUGACUAAGUUUCGACAUUUGAAAGUUGGUAAGAAUUUCUGAUGAAUGGUGAUAAUUUUGGAUAUAUGAGUUAUGUGCUAGAAUAAAUCUCAUGCCAGUAUAUUAUAUUAGGCUUUAUGCUUAUUCGACUGUAUACGGGUAACGUUAACUAUGAAAGAAUGUGCUAAAUGAAAUAAAUGUUCAGGUACGUGGAAGUUGAUUUUCCUUUGGAAAUAAGUUAAGUUAAAUAUUGAUGCAAGAUGUUAACAUAAUCUCGUAUCAACUUAUAUAUGUUGCUGAAUUGAGAAUUUAAAACCUUCAGCUACUGUAUCAGUGGUUACUUGAAAUAGCCGAAGAUAAAGGAUAGUAUUAAAUUCUUAUUGAUAGUGUUUUAUUGAUGAAUGGGUGUGUGAAAGAUUAUCUAAGUUACAUGUAUAAAAAAAUAUUUUCAUAAGAUGUUAAAUGAGUGUUGUCAUGAACCAAAUGAAUAUAUAUAUAUUUGAGUUAUUCAGGCCUUGUGCCUAGUAGGUUUGGGACCGGUGAAGUGUAUACUAGGCUAAUAGCCUAAUUAGUUGGUGGCUGUCAAGUUUAUUCGGACUUUGGGUUAAGUAGGCUAGAACCUAUGUGUGGGGUUCGAGCCUAUACCUAGUAGGUUCAGACAGAUGAGUAAAUCGUGUUAUACCUAUGUGUGUUAUUACCGAAAUGAAAAGUAAGUGAGUAAAUGUAAAUUUUGUGGAUAUCUGUGAUUUAUUAUGAUCAAACUAAGAAUGUUUUGUUAGUUAAAGCACUGAAGCGUAAGUUCGGAGUUGAGGAAACUAGGUGGGGUCUAGAGAACUCAACGAGAGAAAGUUACCCUAUCCUAUUUGCCGGUAAGAUUUUCGGGGACGAACAUCCCUAAAGGAAGGGAGAGUUGUGACAGUCCUAAGUAGACCCUAGUCGAAAAGUGGUUUCGGGACCACGAAACCGAGUUUUAUAAAUAAUUGAAAGUUAUAUUCUAUGUUCACGAUGUGAGUAAAUGCAUGUGUAAAAAUUUCAAGCAUUAAUUUUGCCAUUUGUAUGUGAAAUUUUGAAACGGGACUUAUGUGAAACAUUGGUAAAAUAGGUUAGGUAAAUAUAUAAAGUGAUCUAAUAGAGCAUGUAUUCAAAAAUGUGGGCUUGCAUGUCAAAUUACCCACUUUUGAGAUGGUGGCCGGUCAUGAUAUGGUGUUAUAUAUAUAAUAUGUAUUGUGAUUUAAGAUAUUAUAUUACAAAUGAAUUAAUAAAAGAAAAAAAAAAGAGAUAUUAGAUAAUAGUUAGUGGGAGGAGAAACCAAAGUUGGUUCAUCCUUGUCCUCCAUUGCCGUAGACUAAAGGGAGGGAGAAGAAAGUUUGGUUGCUUUAAUUUUUGGCUUAGAAGAUGGCUAGAAUGAGGUAUGUAUUGAAUGAGUCUUGAAAAUCUAUGCAUGUUUGAGAUGAUUAGUUCAAACUCUACUUAUCACAUGGAUUAAACUUAGAAUUUUGAGGUUUGAGGUUUGAGAUUCGGUCAAUAAGCUUGAAACUCAUAGUAGUUUGUUUUGGUAAGCUUGGUAUACGGAUGAUAGAUGUGUUUUGGUUUUGGUUUGAUAAUGAUGUUAAUGAUGGUGAUUUUCGGUCAUGUAUUAACUUAAAUUGUAAGUAUGAUUUAUGGUAUAAUUUGUGUGAUGGAAUGGUCUUGAGAUUUGGCUUAAUUAAAUGGGUAAAAUGCUAAGUGCAUUAAAGAUGAUGUAAUGGUUAUUUCGGUUUAUGUGAAGUAAAUAUAGAUGAUGGUUAUAAGCUGUUUUAUGAUUUGAUAAUGGUGAUUAAAUCUUGUAGUUAAGUGUUUAGAUAUAUAUAUAUUAAUAAUGAAUUUAGUGUACUUGCUAUGUGAGAAAUAUGCAAUGCUAUAGGUAUUUGAUUAUUAGAUAUGGUUAUUCUAAGUUGAUUU